UCUAAACCUAAACCCAAAUAAAAUCCCCAAAUCUUAAACCCCAACUCCUCACUCUUAAAACCCAAUUCUUUUGGCAAAGGCGAACUCCGGCAACGCGACUUCAAUCCUCCGACGUGGGCAGUGAGUGCGACUUCUUCGGACAUCGAUCCUCCUGUGUGCGACUUCUUCCGACUUCUUAAUUCCGGCAGCGGCGAUUUCAAUACUCCGACGUGGGCAGCGAGUGCGAGUUCAAUCCUCCAACGUGGGCAGCGAGUGGGACUUCUUCCGACAUCGAUCCUCCUGUGUACGACUUCUUCCGGCAGCGACUUCAAUCCUUCAACAGGUAAUUUAUUUUAAAUUCCAUUUUUAAUCUCGAUUCAAUUCUUCUCCCAAUCCAUCGAAAUUCCCACUUAAUUGAUUUGGAAAACAAGCAAUAGAUGACAGAAAUCCCCUAGAAACAGUUUAUUACUUUAUUGCAAAAUAUGUGUUUAUGUUAGUCAUGUUCUGUUUAUGUUCAUUUCCUCAUUCCUCAAUAGAUGUGGUCAUUUCCUCGUUUCUAAUUGCUAGUCAUGUUCUGUUUAUGUUUAUGUUAUGUUUAAAUCAUGAUUGUUUUCGAGAUUUAUUUUAAAUGUUCAGUUAUCUUCUGUUUAUAUCAACAUUUAUAUCUCGAAAACAUUUAUUUUAAAUGUUCAGUUAUGUUCUGUUUAUGUUUAUGUUCAGUUAUGUUUAUGUUCAGUUCUGUUUAAAUCAUGGGUUUAAAGUUCUAUUUAAAACACAUAUACUAAUGUAAGUAAUGUAACCAAAUCUAAACACUUAGAAAGUAUAAAUCAAAUUUUAUUUUAAGCAUGUUGAAGUCAAAUCUAAAGAAUCUUAGGUGUGUGUUUGAACUUGGUGAAUAAUCUAAAAAAUCAUUUUUUAAUUUUCAUUAGAAAUUGAUCGUCUUUUUUUGUGUGGUCUAUAUGACAUAUCUAUUCGGAUUUUGAUUGAAUAUAAAUAAUUGAUUUUUCUAUUUUUGAAUAUAAAUUUCGAUUUUGGUCUUCUGUUUAUCAUGUGAAGGAUCUUUUUAUAAUCCUCUGCCACUAUUAAAUUUUGUCCAGCGCGAGGUCUUUAUCUUCCGGCGAGCAAUUCCAAAUCCCUGUCCAGGGCGAGGUCUUGAACUUCCAGCGAGCGCGAGGUAGGUUUUUAUUGUUCUUAAAUUUUAUUUUUUAAACUAAUCUCUACUCUGAAAAUCAAUUUUGUUAUCUAUCAAUGAUAUCAAUUACCACCUUAAAACCAUCCUUAUUCUCAACUUCAACCAUGUUAAAAUUAAGAGUUUACCACUGUUCUGCACUCGUCUUUUUUUAAUUAUUUAUUUGAUAAAAUAUCAAUUGAUAUCUAUUUAUUCUACAUGUGCUUAAUUUCCAGAUUAAUAUCUGAUAUUGUUCAUGAGCCAUGGCAUAAAAACAUUCAGUUGUUCAGUUUAGGAAAUCUUGUAUUUGAAUCUGUUUUUUGUAUACUACCUUUUUAUGAGUUAUUAUGAGCACAUGUAUUUCUUCUUUUUUUCUCAACUAUGAGAUCUCGACCAAUUGAAAUUUAGAUUUCAUGAACUUCUCGUUUAAUGUUGUAUAUAUAUAGGGUGUCAAAUAAAGCCCGGCUCGUUUAGGCUCGGGCUCGCGAGCCCCAAUGAGCUAAGCCCAAGGCUCAAGCUCGUUUAGCUUAACGAGCCGAGCUGAGUUUGGAAUGUCCAAGCUCGGCUCGGCUCGUUAAGCUCAUGAGGGCUCGCGGGCUUCAUGUCUCCAAAUAAAAAUUUCUUUUAUUUCUCGAGCCCGACAUGCCAAGCCCAGGCUCGCGCCUGGGCUCACGAGCCCGAGCUCAGAUGAUAUCUUAACGAGCCGAGCCAGAGCCCGGCUCUAUAAGCAAAAGUUCGGCUCGGCUCGUUUGACACCCUAUAUAUAUGUUUAUUUGCAGGUUUAAUUUUAUGUUAUAUAUGUUACAAUUAUCAUUAAAAGCAAAUAGGUCAUAUAUGGAAUUUUUUUUUAAAAUUGAAUUCGAUUAUUGGCUAAUUAAUUCAAACUGUAAUUUGAUAUAGUUUAUUCCAAACUCACAGGUGUUGGUGCUAAACAAGCUUAUACAAGGGAAACUUGAUCUUAAUUUCACCAAAAAUUCAAAGUACGUAAUUUCUGAUUUUAAUUAUCAUUUUUGUUUAUUAAUCUAAUUUUUUUAAAUGCAUUACUUAAUUAUUGUUUAGUUAAUUUUUUGAAUAUAUAAUUUAAAUAAAUUGUUUGAUAUGUAAAAUAGCAUAAUGGGAAGGAGAAAAUAACAGAUACCGCGCAGACCUCCAUUUCCGGUACGUGUUUCGGAAGUGCAUCCACAAGUUCCCGUCGUACCUGCAACAGUACCUGUACCGAUUUUACCUUCAUUUCAGCCAGAUCCAAUGUAUGUUCCGCGGGCGGUAGGUCUAUCGAGUUCUCAUCAUCCACCAAUCCUAAUGAGAGUGAAGCAACCAUAUCUAGGAGGCCCCCGAUGAUGAAUGAUCCACUGAGGUUCUUUGGUCCCCGACGAGACAAAAGAGCACCGGCUACAGGAGUUGUGAAAUAUCCACCCGAUUUUCAAUAUUCCUGCGGGUCGAAUUGUUCAGACGCGAAUGCCACCAUGCAAGGUCCCUCCUUUGACUGCGAAACCGAAUCUUCCCUGGUUUCUGAAGUUUCGGUUACGUCCAACUAUCCGAACACUAUAAUAAUUUCUAGCGACGAUGAAUCCGUCGAAAACAGCGAUAGGAUGAGUGGCAAUGAUAAUUAUAGUUAGUUAAACAAUAAUUUAGUAAACUUAUGUGAAAUUUUUGUUUUGGUAACUAUGAAUUUUGUUUUAGUUGAAUGAAAUAUUUUUAUUAUAUAUUGAAUGAAAUUGUCUAUUUAGGUUGGCU
rnacentral:lncRNA from 1 species